GUUGGUGAACCAGCGGAGGGAUCAUUACAGAGUUUAACGACUCCCAAACCACUGUGAACAUACCCGUACCGUUGCCUCGGCGGGCGGCCCAGGGCGGGGCCGCAGCCUCCCCAGCGGAGGCGCCCGCCGCAGGUCGCAAAACUAUAACUAUAUUUAGUGGCAUCUCUGAGUAACUUCCAAACAAUCAAAACUUUCAACAACGGAUCUCUUGGUUCUG
rnacentral:misc_RNA from 1 species